rnacentral:misc_RNA from 1 species
GAUGAAGAACGUAGCGAAAUGCGAUAAGUAGUGUGAAUUGCAGAAUUCCGUGAAUCAUCGAAUCUUUGAACGCACAUUGCGCCUUCUGGUAUUCCGGAAGGCAUGCCUGUUCGAGAGUCAUUAACAACCGUUUCGAUCCCUUUCUUUCAGAAAUUACAAAGAGGAAAAGGGUUUGGUUAUGGUGGAGGAGGGAAAGGGAGCGUUUAGCCUGUAAAAAAAGAGGCUGUGUUCCGCCUCCCCCCCAAAAUUGUACAGGCGGUCGUGUGCGCCCACGCAUCGAGGUGUUGUAAAAGCUGCCACGGCACUUUUCACCUGUGCAGUGCGAGAUUGGCCAGCCGGUUUAAAAACCCCUCCAAACAAUCAAAGGUUGACCUCGGAUCAGGUAGGGAUACCCGCUGAACUUAAGCAUACAAUAAGCGGAGGA